rnacentral:lncRNA from 1 species
GGAACCGAAAGCCAGGCAGUGCAAGGGCAGACCAGUAGGGGAGGAAGAGGGGAGUAGAGUGUUAUGACCUGGGAAAUGUGAGCAGGUAGAGGCUACAUUAAGAAGUUUGCUCUUUGACCAAUAAAAGCCCUGGAAAGAUUUUAAUCAGAGCAGGCCUGCCCUUCAGAAAGUGACUCUUGAGGUCCAGGCACAGCCCUGUGUGGAAGAUAGUGUGUGAGGCUGAAACCCAGAGUGUGUCAUCAUCUGGAAACAACCCUGCAAAGCCCACUCAUGUGACAUGCAUGGAGCUCUUCAGCAGGGACUUACUGACCAGGACAAGAGCUUGAGACUUUGAGGGGAUCUGAUUGUCACUGCACAAUCAAGGACAGUAUUCCCAAGAGUGGAUGUUGCUCAAGAUAGUCCAAGGAAUUCUAUGAAGAAAAGGACUCCACAGACAAUAAAUUUUGGACACCCUGUUUCAACACAGUGCAUCUUAGAGACUGGUGUUUGCAAGUAUAUGGAGCAGGAAACUUCAUCCCGAAGAUGGAGACCCCGGGGCUGUCAGCAGGCGUUAG